UGGGGAAUAUUGCACAAUGGGCGGAAGCCUGAUGCAGCAACGCCGCGUGAGCGAUGAAGGCCUUUGGGUCGUAAAGCUCUGUCCUUGGGGAAGAAAAAAUGACGGUACCCUUGGAGGAAGCCCCGGCUAACUACGUGCCAGCAGCCGCGGUAAUACGUAGGGGGCAAGCGUUAUCCGGAAUUAUUGGGCGUAAAGAGUGCGUAGGUGGUUUUGUAAGCGCGGGGUUGAAAGGCAAUGGCUCAACCAUUGUAAGCCCUGCGAACUGUGAGACUUGAGUGCAGGAGAGGAAAGCGGAAUUCCUAGUGUAGCGGUGAAAUGCGUAGAUAUUAGGAGGAACACCAGUGGCGAAGGCGGCUUUCUGGACUGUAACUGACACUGAGGCACGAAAGCGUGGGGAGCA
rnacentral:rRNA from 1 species